GGGUUCUAGAGGUUCUAGGUGCGUUCCAGAUCGGGUUCUAGGUGCGUUCUAGAUCGGGUUCUAGAGGUUCUAGGUGCGUUCUAGAUCAGGUUCUAGGUGCGUUCUAGAGCGGGUUCUAGAUCGGGUUCUAGGUGCGUUCUAGGUGCAUUCUAGAUCGGGUUCUAGGUGCGUCCUAGAUCGGGUUCUAGAUCGGGUUCUAGGUGCGUUCUAGAUCGGGUUCUAGGUGCGUUCUAGAUCGGGUUUUAGAGGUUCUAGGUGCGUUCUAGAGCGGGUUCUAGAGGCUCUAGGUG